UGUAAAUGUUGUUAGUGUUUGUGUAAGAAUGAAUACAAAUGAUGAUUUUAUAUGUCAUAAAAAUAAAUUAAAAUACAAUGCACAUGCAAAGUUACAUGUAGAAAUGAAGGUAAAAUUCCGAAAACACUAACUCACAUAAUAUCAUGAGAACGUUCUUCUUCUGUUGUUGAAGAUUUUUUUAUGUCAGUUCUCUUGGUCUUGAUAAGUAUGCAUGAACCUUACUUGGUAACUAUAGUUUUCAUUAUUGAAAUACUUAUGCAUCUUACAAUCUUACAAUGUGUUGCAUGUUUGUAAAUGGCAUAAUAGGGAGAAUCUAUCAUGUG